GGUUGGAGAGAUGGCUCAGUGGGUAAGAGCACCCGACUGCUCUUCCGAAAGUCCAGAGUUCAAAUCCCAGCAACCA
rnacentral:tRNA from 1 species